rnacentral:rRNA from 1 species
UACGGAGGCGGCAAGCGUUAUACGGAAUUAUUCGGCGUAAAGCGUCUGUAGGUGACCAUGCAAGUCUGCUGUCAAAGCAUGGAGCUUAACUCCAUAGAGGCAGUGGAAACUGAAUAGCUAGAGUUCGGUAGGGGUAGCGGGAAUGCCCAGUGUAGCGGUGAAAUGCGUAGAGAUUGGGAAGAGCAUCGGUGGCGUAAGCGCGUUACUGGGCCGAAACUGACACUGAGGGACGAAAGCUAGGGGGGCGAAAGGG